AGAAACUCUUUUUCUUACUUUCAGGGAAUGCAUAACCUCAUGGGUAAUGAGAAUAUUAUCUGUGAUUAAGCGACCCGGGAUAAAAGCUACUUGAGAUUCAAAGACAGUAGAACCUAAAUGAUUUCUUAAGUCUAGAAACUAGACACUUAGAGAUUAUCUUAUACAGAACAUUGCAUAAGGCAAUAGGUCUAAAAUCAGA
rnacentral:lncRNA from 1 species